CCCUGUGUCCAUGUAGGCAUACCUUGGAGGUAUUAUGGGUUUGUUUCCAGACCGCCAAAAUAAAGUGAGUCACACUAAUUUUUGGUUUCCCAGUGCAUAUAAAGGUUAUGUUUACAUUGUACUGUGUCUA